rnacentral:misc_RNA from 1 species
CGGGUCGUCGCGGGCCCCAGCGGCGGCGGCGGCGCGGCCGGCGAUGGCGUAGCGGUACCAGCGCGCGAAGCAGUAGAAGAGGAAGACCUGGAUCGAGAAGCCGCCGGCGAAGGCGGCGGCGACGUCGCCAUAGUAGUCGUAGGCGAGGCGGGUGGCAAGGAGCAGCGUCAGGAAGGUGAAGGGCAGAUCCAGCCACGGGAGGUCCAUCGCCGCUGCGCCGCCGGCGAGGCCGCGCUCACCACCCGCGACCGCGAGCACCAGCGGGCUCAGCUAGCGAGGGGGAUCCAUGGAAGGAAAAACAGGACAGCUGGGAGAGAUUCCGUGGAAUGUCUAAUCACCGCACCAAAAUCUCGCCUUUUUCUGCGGGCAGGCAGG